rnacentral:lncRNA from 1 species
GUAACAUAUACAAUGUGAUUUAUAUUUUUGUUAUUAUGUGUUUAUUAUAAAUUUUGUCCGUUAAAAAAUGCAAUGUAUUGAUUUAUCACAUCAUUAUUUAAAUAUGUAAUAAAAAAAAUAAUACAUAUAUAUAUAUAUAUAUAUAUAUAUAUAUAUAUAUAUAUUUUUAAAGCAUUGUAUUAUACUUCGUAAAGAAUCUGUGUAUGUUGCAAUUGAAUAUGUGAUAACAUUUUGUGCUCGUUUAAUACAUAUUGUUAAAUAAAAUGCAUUUGUAAUAUUAUACUUUUUUACUUUAUUUAUAUAUUCAAAAAAAAAAAAAAACACAAUUUAACAUUUAUAAUAUUAUAAUUUUUUACUUACUUUAUUUAUAUAAUCGAAAAAAAAACACAAUUUUGCAUUUAUAAUAUUAUACUUUUUUUACUUUAUUUAUAUAAUCGAAAAAAAACAGAAUUUAACACAAUGGCAGAAGGAAAUCCAUUAGCAAAUGCAAAUGUACCACUAAAUUUGAGUAAGACAGUUGACAUUAUUAAUAAUAAAACAUAAUUUUUUUUUGUAUUUUUUAUAAAUAAUAUAAAAAUAUUUUUUAAUAUAUUAUAAAAAAAAAUGUACAUUUAAUUUAUCAGGUGAUACACAAAAUCUGAGCAAUGGCGAAUCCUCUGUAAUGCAACUUGCGAGAAGCAUUUUAAACACACCUCUAAAUACUACUAGUAAUGAAGAAUUGAACCACGGAAAUAUGACGGUUUUUUUUUUAUUUUUGGCAGUUCUUAUAAUUUUUAUGUAUACAUAUCUAAUUGUUUUACGUUGCCUAGAUCGAUUUUUUUAUGGACAACACAAUGGAAACAAUAUGCCAGUUUUAUUUAAUAGAAAUGGUGGGCAAAACGGAGGAGGAGGAGAGGGAAAUGCUCUACUACCUGAGGAUUUUUAUGAUCGUCAUAGAGGAUAAUAAAAUGGACAUUUCUAAGCAUACAGUAAACAUAAUGAUGUAUUUAAUUAACAUUUUGUUAUAAAUGUCACUACUAAAAAUGAAACUUGACAAACCAACAUGAUCGUACAUUAAUAUCAGGAAAGGACAACAGUUUAUACAAAAACUUAUAAGUAUAUAGUAGUGAUACAUCAAAUUAGCAAUUUUUAUAUUAUAUUAGUACAUGCAAAGUUUUGUAAAAAAAAAAAAAAAAAAAAAAAAAAAAUUAUAUGAAUAUUGGAUAUAAUUGUGGUUUAUUAUGUUUGCUCAUGGUUAUUAUUACAGGAAUGUUUGAUCAUUUUGUGUUGAUUAUAGUUUCACUUUGUGAAUAUAUGUCCAGCACAAAAUUAUCAUUAUUUUAAAUAGUUUUUUUUUAUUUUUAUAUUUUAUUUUUGCUGUGUUUGAAUUUGUUAGGAUUGUUGUUCACUAAUUUAAUUUUUGCAUCAAUUGAAGGUGAGUUCAUUUAUGUUCUAUUUUAUUUUAUUUUAUUAUUUUUUUUUUUUUUUCUAUGCUACAUUAAUUGAGUUGUGCCAUUUUACAUAUGUUGAAAUGUAUAAUUAAAUGUGAUAACUUUUUUUUUUUUUUUUUCGUUUUGCUUUUUACAUAUAAAAACAAAACUUAUGGUUAUAUAUUAUAAAUAGACGCGAU